AUUCUCGAACUGAUCGCGGAGGACGGCACGCUGCUCCGACAGAUGAGCGCAGGAGACUUCUUCGGUGAGAUCGGCAUUCUGAAUCUUGACGGUGGAC